rnacentral:rRNA from 1 species
AUUGAACGCUGGCGGCAGGCCUAACACAUGCAAGUCGAGCGGUAACAUUUCUAGCUUGCUAGAAGAUGACGAGCGGCGGACGGGUGAGUAAUGCUUGGAAAAUCUGCCUGGUAGUGGGGGACAACAGUUGGAAACGACUGCUAAUGCCGCAUAACCUCUUCGGAGCAAAGUAGGGGGACCCGUCGGCCUCACGCUACCAGAUGAGUCCAAGUGGGAUUAGCUAGUUGGUGAGGUAAGGACUCACCAAGGCGACGAUCCCUAGCUGGUUUUGAGAGGAUGAUCAGCCACAC